GACGAACGCUGGCGGCAUGCCUAACACAUGCAAGUCGAGCGAGCAGAUCCCUUCGGGGUGAAGCUAGCGGCGGACGGGUGAGUAACACGUGGCAACCUGCCUCAUAGAGGGGAAUAGCCUUCCGAAAGGAAGAUUAAUACCGCAUAAGAUUGUAGCUUCGCAUGAAGUAGCAAUUAAAGGAGCAAUCCACUAUGAGAUGGGCCCGCGGCGCAUUAGCUAGUUGGUGAGGUAACGGCUCACCAAGGCGACGAUGCGUAGCCGACUUGAGAGGGUGAUCGGCCACAGUGGGACUGAGACACGGCCCAGACUCCGACGGGAGGCAGCAGUGGGGAAUAUUGCACAAUGGGGGAAACCCUGAUGCAGCAAUGCCGCGUGAGUGAUGACGGCCUUCGGGUUGUAAAGCUCUGUCUUCGGGGACGAUAAUGACGGUACCCGAGGAGGAAGCCACGGCUAACUACGUGCCAGCCGCCGCCGUAA
rnacentral:rRNA from 1 species